rnacentral:tRNA from 1 species
AUUGAAGAAGUUAAAGCGGCCUAACAGAGAGCCUAAAAUUCUUGGGAUGGGGGUUCAAUUCCCCCUUUCAAUU